AGGAGCCAGGAAUUGGAGGCGAAACAUCCUUCAUUUCCUCAGCGGUGGAACUAGUGAGGUCUCUGAUUGCCAGGAUCUGGUUUUUCAAAAUAACAUCAUGCGAAGACCCAGGAGUGGGGGUGCCCUGGAGGAUUCUUUUAUCUGUUCAACCUUGAGUCAGACUUGCGAUGAGCAUUUGAUCGAGAAACUUGGUCAGUUUCUCAAAAUGCAAAAUCAAUCGCCGAUUUUACUUUUUUACUUGGCAUUUCCUUGGGAUAUUCCCAGUUCUGGGAAUGAAAGAUUAUAUAAACUAUUGUCUUACAUUCUGUCCCGAUUAGCCUCCUUCCUCAAUUCAGGAUUUCCCUGGAGCCGGAUGUGGCAGCUUCAGGAUUAUGACUUUUUAAAACACAUAUAAUUUUGAUGAAUUUGUAUCUGUUCCCCAAAUUAGAAACUCCUUUAAUUAUAGGAGAAAACAUUUUCAAAGAGAAAGGGUAGACCUUUAGCGCAAGCCCUGGAGCAAAUGCUUCUAAAGAAAAUCUCAGGGCAGGCAGGUCUUCAGCCGAGUGGUGAGGGAAGAAGCAAGCAUGUCUUUUCUGCAGCUGUCAGGCCUCCCGUCUUCCAGUUAAUUCUUGGCUAGAAAGUAAAGAAUAAAUGAAGGUUUGCUUAAAGUUGUUCACGCCCCUACUUAGGAUUUUAACUUGAGAGAAAGCGUGGUCUUGGUGAAACAGUUUUAAAACUGGUCUUGGGUGGCAGAUGAGGGGAAUUUUCUCUUUUUAAAAGCGUUUCCGGCUCAUAAGCGAAGAGAAAGUAUGGCAGAUAGAACAUUUGCUGUUUUGCAUCCCUAACGAAUGAACAGAUCUAGGCAGGAUAAGCCCUGGCUACUGACAACUUGAGGAGAGAACCUGGGAGGUGCCUGGGUGGCUCAGUCAAUGGAGCAUCUGACUCUUGAUUUUGGCUCAGGUCAUGAUCCCACGGUCUCGCUGGGCUCUGUGCUGAGGGUGGGGCCUGCUUAGGAUUCUCUCCCUCUCUCCCUCUCCCUCCCUCCAUCAAGAUACUCCCCUGCUUGUGCUCUCUCUCCCUAAAAUUAGAGAGAGAGAGAGAAGGAGAGAGAACUUGACAUGAUGUGCCUUCUGAUGGAAAAACUCAGCACCGAUUGUGUAGUAUUGACGUUCCACACGCUCCUGUCCCCACACACAAAUCGAACCCGCAGCUGAUCCAGCCUCAAGUAGAUCAACAACCAGCUUACGUGAAACACCAAGUACAGGGAUCCUGUUAAACAAUACUACGGGAACAGAAUCACAGGUAUCCAGAUCAUGUGACACCAUGGGACAAGUGACCGACUUCUUCAAUAAUUAAUUGUAAGGAAGAUAAUCACAUUUAGAUUCUAAAACAAAUGGCAAAAAGAAAAACAAGUGACAUUCAUAGAACACUUGUAAAUUUGAACACUGAUGGGAUAUUUGAUAUUUAAAAAGUUAUUACAUUAUUUCAGUGGGAUACUAUGGUUACAUUUUGAGGUAUUUUAAAACUAUUUUAAGAUAUUUUUCAUGUGUUUUGGAAAUAUCUGCUAAAAUAUUUACAGAUGAAAUGAUACGAUAUCUGGGAUUUAUUCCUCAGUCAUUUUAUGUAGUGGUAAGGAAAGUGGGUAUAGUUCGAAACAAGACUGGACAUCAGUCAUGGGCAUAUGAUGGUUUAUUAUAUUAUUAUGUCUAUUUUUUCUUAUGUUUGAAUUGUUUAAUCUUUUACUUUUUGCACAGUGUGUUCAAACUUGAGAACUGGCACUGAAACCUGACUGAACUGUCUGGCCUGGAGCACGGGACAACUGGCCCACGGCUUGCUCUGUGACUUUGCAUACACUGGUUCUCACUUAUCCAUUUAGGAAACAUGGAGGGCUUUCUGUCUGCUUGAGCUUCUGAAACUGUGGAGCUCACACGCUAGGUUAGAAAAUGAUAAGGAAGGAUGCCUCCAGAUGGAGGUGGGGAAGCCUUUGCAAAAGAAUUGGUGUUUGAUAUGAGUCCUGACAGAUGGCAAGGAGUUCCCUGGGUGGUGUCAGUUCAUCUUCUGUAAGAUAAGAUGGUUAGACUGGAUCUACAAGGAUCUACUUAGUCCUAAUAGAUUCUGUGAUUAUAACCUGCCUAUAACCAUUUCCCCCCGCCCCCGUGUGUGUCCCUCCAGGGAGUUGAGAGACCCCCAUGGACUUCCUGCCAUCAUCCUUUAUUUUGUUAGCCAAAGCAAUCCAACUUGAGCUGGUGGCCUUGAAUCUCUCAAUUGUGUUUGGAGACCAAAACAUUAUCACAUUAGCCAGUCCAUAACCUUCUUAGGGAGUGGUCUCUCAGGCUCGCAGAU
rnacentral:lncRNA from 1 species